GCGCUGUCAUGGCAUUUGUMGGGARCGCUGGAAUUYGUUCCUUGGGUUUUCRGCUUCUACGAUUGAUGUGUCCUGUUCGAUCUCCGCGGUCGGCGUUCUAGUCCCUAUGAGCAAUCUGGGCGACUGUCGUCAGCAAUGAGCACUGUYAUCACUGGAGGGUAGAAAUACAGCACAGUUCGGUGCCCGUGGGUGAGGCGAAGGGGAUAACACGUCGUCGGUAACAUCUUACRGUGUAGGAGGUUGGAAUUUCAGGUUGAGCUGGUU
rnacentral:SRP_RNA from 1 species